rnacentral:rRNA from 1 species
UGCAAGUCGACGGUAACGCGGAGAGCUUGCUCUCUGGCGACGAGUGGCGGACGGGUGAGUAACGCGUGGGAAUCUGCCUAGUAGUGGGGGACAACUCGAGGAAACUCGAGCUAAUACCGCAUACGCCCUACGGGGGAAAGCGGGGGAUCUUCGGACCUCGCGCUAUUAGAUGAGCCCGCGUCGGAUUAGCUAGUUGGUGAGGUAAAAGCUCACCAAGGCGACGAUCCGUAGCUGGUCUGAGAGGACGAUCAGCCACACUGGGACUGAGACACGGCCCAGACUCCUACGGGAGGCAGCAGUGGGGAAUAUUGGACAAUGGGGGAAACCCUGAUCCAGCAAUGCCGCGUGUGUGAAGAAGGCCUGCGGGUUGUAAAGCACUUUCAGUGAGGAAGAAAAGCCUGGGGUUAAUACCCCCGAGUCUUGACGUUACUCACAGAAGAAGCACCGGCUAACUCCGUGCCAGCAGCCGCGGUAAUACG